UACGUAGGGUGCAAGCGUUGUCCGGAAUUAUUGGGCGUAAAGCGCUCGUAGGCGGUCCAUCGCGUCGGGAGUGAAAAGCUGGGGCUUAACCCCAGUCCUGCUUCCGAUACGGGUGGACUAGAGGUAGGCAGGGGAGAACGGAAUUCCUGGUGUAGCGGUGAAAUGCGCAGAUAUCAGGGGGAACACCGGUGGCGAAGGCGGUUCUCUGGGCCUUAACUGACGCUGAGGAGCGAAAGCAUGGGGAGCAAACAGG
rnacentral:rRNA from 1 species